rnacentral:rRNA from 1 species
GACAGAGGGUGCAAACGUUGCUCGGAAUUACUGGGCGUAAAGCGCGUGUAGGUGGAUUGGUGUGUCAGAUGUGAAAGCCCUGGGCUCAACCCAGGAACAGCACCUGAAACUACCAGUCUUGAGUGGUGGAGAGGGAAGUGGAAUUCCUGGUGUAGAGGUGAAAUUCGUAGAUAUCAGGAGGAACACCAGUGGCGAAGGCGGCUUCCUGGACACUAACUGACGCUGAGACGCGAAAGCAUGGGGAGCGAACAGG